UUCAACAAAGCUACGUCUGUAGCAAAUCAGACCUACCUAUACUAGACAAUAGACACUAUUUAAAAUGAUCCACAUAAUCGAUAACAACAAACAGUCGGAACUUCUAACAAAUGAACAAGACUAACAGCUGUAACAACAAGAAAAGAUCGGGUCCCGGCUCCGGACCCAGAGUACCCGCGCUACCUGAGACGAUCACCUGAUCUCGUCUCCCUCAUUUUGGCCACUAGAUGGCCUUUAAUCAGCCCGUGUCGGCUGUCAUGCCCCCUCUUCCCAUCAAUUGAAACUUAGCAGGACAUUUUUUCCCUCAAUAUCCCUUUUACAAUCUAAUGCAAGUGGACAUUUCUUAUAAUUUUGUGCAUAUUCUUAUAAUUAUUGACAAUGUGUAUUAAGUUCAAAAAUGUUAAUUUUUGCCAGGCGACGAAAACACUGCCAAAGUUAUUGCCAGUCAACAAAAAAAAAACAAGGGGAAAGAUACUAAUAUCAGACGCAAUAAUCUUUGGGGCAUUUCCUUCACCGUUCGCACUUUCGGAAAUUUUCUGAAGUGAAACUAUGCAUAAUGUACAGGGGUCUCGAACAUGAGUCUUCGUUUGACUCUGCUUGUAACUCGGGGCGAAGAAGGACGACAUAGAACGGACUCACUCUGAUGAUGUGUGCGCGGUCUCGCCCGUACCCCGCUUCUUGGCCUAUCCUUCUGGAUAGCGUUGGUGACACGUGCGACGAGGGUAUGGCUGAUGUGCGCCGCUGCGUCGAAACCUGGCCUGGGAGUGACUCUGUUGGUCCUCUCUGGUCCGAGAGCUGAUCCCUUCGUUGCCGGAACCCUGGGUCGUUUAUUUUAUUAUUUGUCUUAUUUGAUUUUUUCGUCUCGUCUCGCAUGUAAGAUUUACGUUUUUCGGCAACACCAUCGGACCGAAUUUCGGCACACGCAGCCCAUCUGCACAGCUGCACUUUAGGGUCAAUGGCCCAGUUGUACGCCAAGGGCAUGUCAAGGGCACCCGAUCCGCUCUCCUCCUAAUCUCGCUAUGAGCAAAUCGGUUGCCCAAUCAUGCUCGCUCAAUGGCAUUACCCUUCUCUGCGCAGUGGAUCGCAAGCCGGGCCUUGCCACUUUUCAAUUAAUUUGGCGCCACUGUGUGCCCGGUUUCACCCCCGCUACUCUGCUCAUACGACAAAAAGAUAAUGGCGUGGCCGAUAAUAAAGAACGCAUCCAACUAGGUAAACUAUCGAUGCUGCCAAUUAUAUCAAAUGCAAUAACCAAAUUUCGAUACGACAACAAUUUCACAACAAGAACAACAUCAUAACAAAAGACAUAUGUACAUUAGAAAUGUUACACAUAAUAAACACACCAAACAACAGAAGACUAAACUACAAAACAGACACCGAAAACUGCGCUCACUUAUACAGACAUCUAUUGAAUUGUCAAACAAAAUGUUUCAACCUCCACGUCAAAGAGCGCAGACGUGUAAAACAAUGUAUGUUUUUUUAAAUUUUUAAAUUGUUACGUAAUUGUUUUAAUUUUAUUUAAUGUAUUUUCAUUUUAAUUGUUUUUUUGUUUUUAUGCACAUUGGUUUAAUUUCAAACAAAUUGCAUUUUCCUUUUGUCUUGGAUAAAAAAAAAAACCUCGAGCCAGCCAAACAAACAAUUAUAAAUAGCUUAUAUUUAAAAUACAACACUGAAGAUUUU